rnacentral:rRNA from 1 species
AGCCUACGGGACGCAGCAGUGGGGAAUAUUGCACAAUGGGGGAAACCCUGAUGCAGCGACGCCGCGUGGGGGAAUGAAGGUCUUCGGAUUGUAAACCCCUGUCAUGUGGGAGCAAAUUAAAAAGAUAGUACCACAAGAGGAAGAGACGGCUAACUCUGUGCCAGCAGCCGCGGUAAUACAGAGGUCUCAAGCGUUGUUCGGAAUCACUGGGCGUAAAGCGUGCGUAGGCUGUUUCGUAAGUCGUGUGUGAAAGGCGCGGGCUCACCCCGCGGACGGCACAUGAUACUGCGAGACUAGCGUAAUGG